CUGAUAGGGCUGCGUUAGCAGGUCGCUGUGAUAUAGCGGUUGUGAGAUUUAUCUUCGUCGGU
rnacentral:tRNA from 1 species